rnacentral:rRNA from 1 species
UCGUACGGGAUCCGAGGUAGCAAUAUCUUGGUGAGAGUGGCGCACGGGUGCGUAACACGUAUGCAACCUACCUUUAACCGGGACACAACCUCGAGAAAUUGAGGCUAAUAUCCCAUAACACUGCGAGAUGGCAUCAUUUUGCAGUUAAAACUCCGGUGGUUAUUGAUGGGCAUGCGCGACAUUAGCUAGUUGGUGAGGUAACGGCCCACCAAGGCUACGAUGUCUAGGGGUUCUGAGAGGAUUAUCCCCCACACUGGUACUGAGACACGGACCAGACUCCUACGGGAGGCAGCAGUAAGGAAUAUUGGUCAAUGGGCGCAAGCCUGAACCAGCCAUGCCGCGUGAAGGAUGACGGCCCUAUGGGUUGUAAACUUCUUUUGUACGGGAAAAAACCACCGGUCGUGUAUCGGUGCUGAUGGUACCGUAAGAAUAAGCAUCGGCUAACUCCGUGCCAGCAGCCGCGGUAAUACGGAGGAUGCAAGCGUUAUCCGGAUUCAUUGGGUUUAAAGGGUGCGCAGGCGGAGUGAUAAGUCAGUGGUGAAAGCCUACAGCUUAACUGUAGAACUGCCAUUGAUACUGUCAUUCUUGAAUAUUGUUGACGUAGGCGGAAUGUGUCAUGUAGCGGUGAAAUGCUUACAUAUGACACAGAACACCGAUCGCGAAGGCAGCUUACCAAGCAAUAACUGACGCUCAUGCCCGAAAGCGUGGGGAUCAAACAGGAU